UAGUAACGGCGAGUGAAGCGGCAACAGCUCAAAUUUGAAAUCUGGCCUCGGCCCGAGUUGUAAUUUGCAGAGGAUGCUUCUGGCGCGGUGCCUUCCGAGUUCCCUGGAACGGGACGCCACAGAGGGUGAGAGCCCCGUAUGGUCGGACACCAAGCCUGUGUGAAGCUCCUUCGACGAGUCGAGUAGUUUGGGAAUGCUGCUCUAAAUGGGAGGUAAAUCUCUUCUAAAGCUAAAUACCGGCCAGAGACCGAUAGCGCACAAGUAGAGUGAUCGAAAGAUGAAAAGCACCUUGAAAAGGGGGUUAAAUAGUACGUGAAAUUGUUGAAAGGGAAGCACUUGUGACCAGACUUGGGCCGGGCGGCUCAUCAGGGGUUCUCCCCUGUGCACUCCGCCCGGCACAGGCCAGCAUCGGUUCUCGUGGGGGGAUAAGACCGUCAGGAACGUAGCACCCUCCGGGGUGUGUUAUAGCCUGGCGGACGAUACCCCCGUGGGGACCGAGGUUCGCGCUCCGCAAGGAUGCUGGCGUAAUGGUCACCAGUGACCCGUCUUGAAACACGGACCA
rnacentral:sRNA from 1 species